rnacentral:rRNA from 1 species
UACGGAGGAGGCAAGCGUUAUCCGGAAUCAUUGGGCGUAAAGGGUGUGUAGGCGGUUGUGUUAGUCUUCCGUUAAAUUCUUCGGCUUAACCGGGGGCAUGCGGAGGAAACGGCACAACUAGAGGAUGCGAGAGGUGAAUGGAACUCAUGGAGUAGGGGUGAAAUCCGUUGAUAUCAUGGGGAACACCAAAAGCGAAGGCAAUUCACUGGCGCACUCCUGACGCUGAGACACGAAAGCGUAGGUAGCGAAUGGG